GACAGAGGGUGCAAACGUUGUUCGGAAUUACUGGGCGUAAAGCGCGUGUAGGCGGCUAUGCAAGUCGAGUGUGAAAGCCCCCGGCUCAACUGGGGAGGGUCAUUCGAUACUGAUCGACUCGAAGGCAGGAGAGGGAAGUGGAAUUCCCGGUGUAGUGGUGAAAUGCGUAGAUAUCGGGAGGAACACCGGUGGCGAAGGCGGGUCUCUGGGCCGAAAUUGACGCUGAGGAGCGAAAGCGUGGGGAGCAAACAGG
rnacentral:rRNA from 1 species